rnacentral:rRNA from 1 species
AGUGAACGCUGGCGGUAGGCCUAACACAUACAAGUCGAACGGCAGCACAGUAAGAGCUUGCUCUUACGGGUGGCGAGUGGCGGACGGGUGAGGAAUACAUCGGAAUCUACUUUUUCGUGGGGGAUAACGUAGGGAAACUUACGCUAAUACCGCAUACGACCUGCGGGUGAAAGCAGGGGAUCUUCGGACCUUGCGCGAUUGAAUGAGCCGAUGUCGGAUUAGCUAGUUGGCGGGGUAAAGGCCCACCAAGGCGACGAUCCGUAGCUGGUCUGAGAGGAUGAUCAGCCACACUGGAACUGAGACACGGUCCAGACUCCUACGGGAGGCAGCAGUGGGGAAUAUUGGACAAUGGGCGCAAGCCUGAUCCAGCCAUACCGCGUGAGUGAAGAAGGCCUUCGGGUUGUAAAGCCCUUUUGUUGGGAAAGAAAAGCAGCAGGUUAAUACCCCGCUGUUCUGACGGUACCCAAAGAAUAAGCACCGGCUAACUUCGUG